rnacentral:rRNA from 1 species
GAGUUUGAUCCUGGCUCAGGACGAACGCUGGCGGCGUGCUUCAUACAUGCAAGUCGAACGAGAAAUUCACUUCGGUGGAUGGAAAGUGGCGGACGGGUGAGUAAUGUGUAGAGAAUCUGCCCUAGAGCGGGGGACAACAGCUGGAAACGGUUGCUAAUACCCCAUAUGAGCGUAUCUGAAAUGGUAUUCUUGAAAACUCCGGUGCUCUAGGAUGAGUCUGCAUCUGAUUAGCUAGUUGGGGGUGUAAUGGACCACCAAGGCGACGAUCAGUAGCUGGUUUGAGAGGAUGAUCAGCCACAAUGGGACUGAGACACGGCCCAUACUCCUACGGGAGGCAGCAGUAGGGAAUUUUGCGCAAUGGGCGAAAGCCUGACGCAGCAACGCCGCGUGAUUGAUAAAGCCCUUCGGGGUGUAAAGAUCUGUCAGUGGGGACGAAACUUGACGGUACCCACAGAGGAAGCACCGGCUAACUCCGUGCCAGCAGCCGCGGUAAUACGGAGGGUGCAAGCGUUGUCCGGAAUCAUUGGGCGUAAAGAGUUCGUAGGUGGUUUGUUAAGUUUGGUGUUAAAUGCAGAGGCUCAACUUCUGUUCGGCAUCGGAUACUGGCAGACUAGAAUGCGGUAGAGGUAAAGGGAAUUCCUGGUGUAGCGGUGAAAUGCGUAGAUAUCAGGAGGAACAUCGGUGGCGUAAGCGCUUUACUGGGCCGUAAUUGACACUGAGGAACGAAAGCCAGGGUAGCAAAUGGGAUUAGAUACCCCGGUAGUCCACGCCGUAAACGAUGGAUACUAGGUGU